AGAGACAAGGCCUCACUAUGUUGCCCAGGCUGGUCUCGAACUCCUGGGCUCAAGCAAUCCUCCCACCUUAGCCUCCUGGGGACCUGGCAUGCAAUCACAGAUGUGUGCCAGUGUGUCUUGGCACAGGAUUCACUUGCUUUCCAGCAAAUUGCAACAGGAGGUCACAGAGCAACAGAACCGAGAUCUGAUCCAAGUGUCUGUGGAGGGUGCAGCUGCCAGACCCUGUGGCGAGGUCAAAUGUGCAGAUGCUGGGUUUCGCCAUUUUGCCCGGACUGGUCUCGAACUCCAGAGCUCAAGACAUCCUCCUGCCUUGGCCUCCCAAAGUGCCAGGACUACAGGCGUGAGCCACUGAACCCAGCUGGCUAAAUAAACUUCCUAAAUUGAUUGAGAC
rnacentral:lncRNA from 1 species